GAGUUUGAUCCUGGCUCAGGACGAACGCUGGCGGCGUGCCUAAUACAUGCAAGUCGAACGAACUCUGGUAUUGAUUGGUGCUUGCAUCAUGAUUUACAUUUGAGUGAGUGGCGAACUGGUGAGUAACACGUGGGAAACCUGCCCAGAAGCGGGGGAUAACACCUGGAAACAGAUGCUAAUACCGCAUAACAACUUGGACCGCAUGGUCCGAGCUUGAAAGAUGGCUUCGGCUAUCACUUUUGGAUGGUCCCGCGGCGUAUUAGCUAGAUGGUGGGGUAACGGCUCACCAUGGCAAUGAUACGUAGCCGACCUGAGAGGGUAAUCGGCCACAUUGGGACUGAGACACGGCCCAAACUCCUACGGGAGGCAGCAGUAGGGAAUCUUCCACAAUGGACGAAAGUCUGAUGGAGCAACGCCGCGUGAGUGAAGAAGGGUUUCGGCUCGUAAAACUCUGUUGUUAAAGAAGAACAUAUCUGAGAGUAACUGUUCAGGUAUUGACGGUAUUUAACCAGAAAGCCACGGCUAACUACGUGCCAGCAGCCGCGGUAAUACGUAGGUGGCAAGCGUUGUCCGGAUUUAUUGGGCGUAAAGCGAGCGCAGGCGGUUUUUUAAGUCUGAUGUGAAAGCCUUCGGCUCAACCGAAGAAGUGCAUCGGAAACUGGGAAACUUGAGUGCAGAAGAGGACAGUGGAACUCCAUGUGUAGCGGUGAAAUGCGUAGAUAUAUGGAAGAACACCAGUGGCGAAGGCGGCUGUCUGGUCUGUAACUGACGCUGAGGCUCGAAAGUAUGGGUAGCAAACAGGAUUAGAUACCCUGGUAGUCCAUACCGUAAACGAUGAAUGCUAAGUGUUGGAGGGUUUCCGCCCUUCAGUGCUGCAGCUAACGCAUUAAGCAUUCCGCCUGGGGAGUACGGCCGCAAGGCUGAAACUCAAAGGAAUUGACGGGGGCCCGCACAAGCGGUGGAGCAUGUGGUUUAAUUCGAAGCUACGCGAAGAACCUUACCAGGUCUUGACAUACUAUGCAAAUCUAAGAGAUUAGACGUUCCCUUCGGGGACAUGGAUACAGGUGGUGCAUGGUUGUCGUCAGCUCGUGUCGUGAGAUGUUGGGUUAAGUCCCGCAACGAGCGCAACCCUUAUUAUCAGUUGCCAGCAUUAAGUUGGGCACUCUGGUGAGACUGCCGGUGACAAACCGGAGGAAGGUGGGGAUGACGUCAAAUCAUCAUGCCCCUUAUGACCUGGGCUACACACGUGCUACAAUGGAUGGUACAACGAGUUGCGAACUCGCGAGAGUAAGCUAAUCUCUUAAAGCCAUUCUCAGUUCGGAUUGUAGGCUGCAACUCGCCUACAUGAAGUCGGAAUCGCUAGUAAUCGCGGAUCAGCAUGCCGCGGUGAAUACGUUCCCGGGCCUUGUACACACCGCCCGUCACACCAUGAGAGUUUGUAACACCCAAAGUCGGUGGGGUAACCUUUUAGGAACCAGCCGCCUAAGGUGGGACAGAUGAUUAGGGUGAAGUCGUAACAAGGUAACCAAUC
rnacentral:rRNA from 1 species